rfam:Rattus norvegicus chromosome 7, whole genome shotgun sequence.
GGGGAUUUAGCUCAGUGGUAGAGCGCUUGCCUAGCAAGCACAAGGCCCUGGGUUCGGUUCCCAGCUCCG